GAUGAACGCUAGCGGCGUGCCUAACACAUGCAAGUCGAACGGAGUCGUUUUGGAAAUCUCUUCGGAGAUGGAAUUCUCGACUUAGUGGCGGACGGGUGAGUAACGCGUGAGCAAUCUGCCUUUAAGAGGGGGAUAACAGUCGGAAACGGCUGCUAAUACCGCAUAAAGCAUUAAAUUCGCAUGUUUUUGAUGCCAAAGGAGCAAUCCGCUUUUAGAUGAGCUCGCGUCUGAUUAGCUAGUUGGCGGGGUAACGGCCCACCAAGGCGACGAUCAGUAGCCGGACUGAGAGGUGGAACGGCCACAUUGGGACUGAGACACGGCCCAGACUCCUACGGGAGGCAGCAGUGGGGAAUAUUGCGCAAUGGGGGAAACCCUGACGCAGCAACGCCGCGUGAUUGAAGAAGGCCUUCGGGUUGUAAAGAUCUUUAAUCAGGGACGAAACAAAUGACGGUACCUGAAGAAUAAGCUCCGGCUAACUACGUG
rnacentral:rRNA from 1 species